rnacentral:lncRNA from 1 species
UAACAUGUCUGGGAGGAGAGAUCCCUCCUUGCGCUUAAAACUGUGCUUAAAUGCUCGCUCCGAAAGUGUGUGUGUACUUUUGUGUGCCUGUUCUUCAGUGAUCUUCAACAGGAAUAAUAUAGUGUCUGGCAACGUUUCAAUUUCUAUUUGUAUUUUUGUGCCGCUUGUAUGUGCGUAUGCUGUAAAGGAGCAUAAAAGUGUCUCUUUGUCAGUGUGUGUGUGUGUGUGUUUGAAGACACAAUGUGUGUGAUGGUCUCUCUCACAUCUGGACUGGUCCUCUUCCUGCUGACUCUACUCUUUGAAGGUUCCUCAGGAUCGGGGCUUCCAUGGUUGGAUGGGUUCCAGCGACCUGAGCUCGAUGGAGCCCCAGUUCCACCUGUCUGCUGGGUUGUCACGGUAGCGCCAGCACUUCCAACCGCGGUGGUUCCGGUACCAACUCAGCCGCCACUGCAACCUCACCCAGACCCCACCCCUAAAGUGCACACCACACCCCUCACCAAAAGGAACCAAUUGCGUUCCCUGUUGAUCUUCCUCCAGUCCAUUCAGAGAGGCGCUGCUCACAAACCUGCUCAGAGGGCCAGGGUCAUGGGAACAAGCCGUCGUCAUGGCAGCGCUGCCGUUUUGCCAUGGUGGAAAGUGCUGAGUCAGGACGGUGGUGGGAUCAGGCUUCAGGGCAUGGUGCGGUCUGUGCAUACAGUGGCCUGGGGUCAACUCCUUCAGAAAUCAUCAGAGUCCGACUCAUCUGAGGAGCUCAGGGGGUAGACUGAACACGCACGCACGCUCGCCCUGCCGCUCGCUCACUCCACUCACUCACUCCACUCACUCCACUCACUCACUCACUCACUCACUCACUCAAUUUUAUAUUCACAAUAGGCAUCACUUUUAGAUGUUAUUACAAAUACAAACAUGGUCUUUGGUUGUUCUUUUAAUCUACACACAAUAGGCAGCAAAAUGAAAAUAUUCAAACAGUACACGUAUCGAGAGAACAGCAAUUAAUACAAUGUUUUUGUACAAAAAUAAAUUAUGAAACAAUCUCA